GACGAACGCUGGCGGCGUGCCUAACACAUGCAAGUCGAACGGAGUUGUUCCUUCGGGGGACAACUUAGUGGCGAACGGGUGAGUAACGCGUGAGAAACCUGCCUUUCAGUGGGGGGACAACAGUUGGAAAACGACUGCUAAUACCGCAUAAUGUUAGUUUGGGGGCAUCCCUGAAUAACCAAAGAUUUAUUGCUGAAAGAUGGUCUCGCGUCUGAUUAGAUAGUUGGCGGGGUAACGGCCCACCAAGUCGACGAUCGGUAGCCGGACUGAGAGGUUGAACGGCCACAGUUGGGACUGAGACACGGCCCAGACUCCUACGGGGAGGCAGCAGUGGAGGGAUAUUCGGCAAUGGGGGAAACCCUGACCGAGCAAUGCCGCGUGAGGGAUGACGGUUUUCGGAUUGUAAACCUCUGUCCUCUGUGAAGAUAAUGACGGUAGCAGAGGAGGAAGCUCCGGCUAACUACGUG
rnacentral:rRNA from 1 species